rnacentral:miRNA from 1 species
CCUGGCUGUCCUAGAACUCACUCUGUAGACCAGGCUGGCCUUGAACUCACAGAGAUCUGCCUGCCUCUGCUUCCUGAGUACUGGUAU